AGAAACCUCGACACCCUGAACACGCCUCAUCUCGUCUGAUCUUGGAAGUUAAGUAGGGUUGGGCUUGGUUAGUACUUGGAUGGGAGAGAGUUCUUAUUUGUGGUCCUUA
ensembl:rRNA 5S_rRNA 5S ribosomal RNA